rnacentral:rRNA from 1 species
UACGGAGGGGGCUAGCGUUGUUCGGAAUUACUGGGCGUAAAGCGCACGUAGGCGGCUUUGUAAGUUAGAGGUGAAAGCCCGGGGCUCAACUCCGGAAUUGCCUUUAAGACUGCAUCGCUAGAAUUGUGGAGAGGUAAGUGGAAUUCCGAGUGUAGAGGUGAAAUUCGUAGAUAUUCGGAAGAACACCAGUGGCGAAGGCGGCCCACUGGUCC